rnacentral:rRNA from 1 species
CCUACGGGUGGCAGCAGUGGGGAAUAUUGGGCAAUGGGCGCAAGCCUGACCCAGCAACGCCGCGUGAAGGAAGAAGGCUUUCGGGUUGUAAACUUCUUUUCUCAGGGACGAAGAAAGUGACGGUACCUGAGGAAUAAGCCACGGUUAACCACGUGCAAGCAGCCGCGGGAAUACGUAGGUGGCAAGCGUUAUCCGGAUUCAAUGGGUGUAAAGGGGGUGUGGGGGGGGAAGCAAGUCAGAUGUGAAAACCAUGGGCUUAACCCGUUGCCUGCAGUUGAAACUGUUAUUCUUGAGUACUGGAGAGGCAGACGGAAUUCCUAGUGUAGCGGUGAAAUGCGUAGAUAUUAGGAGGAACACCAGUGGCGAAGGCGGUCUGCUGGACAGCAACUGACGCUGAGGCGCGAAAGCGUGGGGAGCAAACAGGAUUAGAUACCCCAGUAGUC